UAAAAAAAUUUGAGGCUACAAAAAGUAAUUAGUCUUUAUAAGUGUCUCUCCAAUCCUUAAACAUUCCAGGACAAGCAUUUGUCAGAACUUCCCACGUUUGAUCUCGUAUGAUUUGUUCGACAGAUAGUUCACUUUGUAAGACAAUUUGUACCUCUUCCGGAGGGGAUAAUUGCACUUGCACCUCUUUAGCGUAAGGAUCCAAACGUUCGGAAACCUGAGUCGUUGAUGAUGAAGGCAAUUGCUGCUGUGAUUUUAAGGGUGAUUUGGAAGUAUUUCGAUCUUGAUCAAGUUGUGAUCGUACAAUAGUUUGACAUUCUUUUAAGAAUUGAUCCCGACUUAACCAACCUUCGAACAACUUUUUCUUUACGUUUUGACAACGCUCUUCUUGGGUUUCAUGUACCUUCCCUUCUGGGUAUUCCCAUUUUGCUGAAUUAAGAGAUAAUUGGAUGGUAUCGUCUAUCUUUCUAGCUUUCCUCAAAACAUCUAAAAGUAUGAUUAGUAUUG